UACGAAGGGGGCUAGCGUUGUUCGGAAUUACUGGGCGUAAAGGGCGCGUAGGCGGUGCUUCAAGUCAGGCGUGAAAGCCCCGGGCUCAACCUGGGAACCGCGCUUGAGACUGGAGCACUCGAGUUCGGGAGAGGAUGGUGGAAUUCCCAGUGUAGAGGUGAAAUUCGUAGAUAUUGGGAAGAACACCGAUGGCGAAGGCAGCCAUCUGGACCGACACUGACGCUGAGGCGCGAAAGCUAGGGGAGCGAACGGG
rnacentral:rRNA from 1 species